rnacentral:lncRNA from 1 species
AUCUCGCAGAAGGCGUCUUCAAGGGUAUUCACCGUCAUGAGAAUGGACCCAGCCUGGUAGAGGGGUUCCAUUGUCUCUUCUACGUUGGACAAAGAGAGGAAGCCAAGAGACCAACCAGGUCAAUAAAUAUUUUUGGCUAGAGACACGAUCAUUCGGAGUGGAGAAACCCUAGAAUUGUGACAUCAGGGCCCCUUCAGCCAACCAGAAAGAAAGCCACAAUCCAUUCAUUUGCAUAUUGUAGCUUCCUUGGUUGGUUACCUAGAGCUUUGUCUGUUUAUCUGACCAAGUCGCCCUCCUGAGAUGUGGAUCCUUAACUCAUCACCCUUCUAGAACCAGAACUCAAGUUCUUCUUUAACCUAAGGAACAAACCAAGUCCCAGAGCAGGGAAGUAAACUGGCCAGAGCAAGGCAGGCCAGGCCAGGCUCACUGGCUGCCAGGACUGGGUGGUCUCCCACACUGGCAAGGGACCUGCAUGGUCUUGGACUGGUCUCUGGGCUUUAGUACCUCACUAGUAAAACAAAGACAUUGUAAGAGAUGAUACCUAAUCCCACUUGUAGCUCUAAAAUGCUAAAAAGUAAUCUCUUAUUCCAAGUCCAUACUCCUAUAAUGAUGUCAGAAUUCUAUAAAAUCUUAGAAAUUGCGAAAAAUGUACUUAGAUUUUGAUGUAUGGUCCACAGCAAUGGCUGAUUCAGCAGGUGCAAGGUAAAAAUGGGUUAGUCAUAUUUAUUCAAUAAAUACUAAGUGCUCACUACACACUAGGAUCAGGGAACAAGUGAGUGCAUGGUCUUCCAACAUACCUGAAUGUUAACAAAUAUGAGAAACAACACAUAGAAAGGUAAAUCUUGUACUUUUUACCUGAUAAUUAGAACAAAGGAAAAUACUUCUAGCUAAUCUACAUUUGGUUUAGUCAGGAACAAACCUUCAUCUUGCACAUCUCAGUCUCUUGCCUAGACUUCUCUCCUGGUCUCCAAAUCUAAACGUCUCCCCCACAAUGGGCCUCCAAUUCAAGCCAUCCAAAGCUGAAUUGGUGAUCUCUUUACCCAAACCAGUUCCUGUUCCAGUGUUGCUGUCAGAUUAAUGAGAGCAACCCAGAACAGCACACACACCAGAGCCCUCAUGAGACAACUGGUGCUGUGAUGCUAAUAUUUGUCCCCUCCCAAACUCAUGUUGCAAUUUAAUUACCAUUGUAACAGGAUUAUGAGGAAGGACCUUUAACAGAUGAUUAGGCUACCCUUUAAGAGAUAAAUGGAUUAACACUGUUAUCUUGGGAGCAGGUUCCUUAUAAGUGGAUAAGUUCAGCCCCUUUAUGUCUCUCUCUCACCCUCUCUUUGCCCUUCUACUAUGUGAUGUCUUCUGCUGUGGAAUGACACAGCAAGAAGGCCCUUGCCAGAUGCCAGCAUUUUGAUUUUGGACUUCCUAGCCUCCAGAACUGUAAGGAAAUACAUUUCUGUUCUUUAUAAAUUACCCAGCAUCGGGUAUUUUACUAUAGCAGCACACAAUAGACUAAGAAACUUAGGAUCAACCUAGACCCUUCCAUGUCAAAGUGGCUCUAAGUCCUGUUCAAUCUACCAUUGCCAAGCACUCUAGCAUCAAACCACCUGGGUUAGAGUCCCAGCUCUACUUAUAAUCUACCUAUCUUUGGCAGAUUACCCCAUCUCCCUGAGCCUCAAUCUUUUUUAUAAGUAGGAAUACUAAUUCAGUGGUGUGCAGUUCUAUGGGGAAAAGUGAAUAAAACUCCGAAUUAUUUUGAUAGCUGUUGCCAAUUUCCAUGGUGUAAAUACUCCCACCGUGGCCAGUUUCAAGCUACCAACAUGAUGUCACUGGGAAGAGAUGCACAAAAUCAGCUCUCAUGAGCCUCUGCAAGCUGACUCUCGCACCACAGGGACCGUGAUGAGGGCAGCUGCCUCCUCCGAGAUGCAGAUUAACCUAUCUAGGGUGCCUUGUAGUAGGCAUCAGAGAGGGCAUUUUGCAGGGAGGUUCAUGGCUAAACUAAGGUGGCAUUUUCUGGGGGAUUUUGUGGGGUUUUUAGCAUAAUAAAGUGUCAAGCAAUAAGGUGAAAUUUUAAAUGGCAAGAUGAAAAAAGCAACUUUGAUUAUUGAGACAGAAUGGUGGAAAAAGCAUUUUUCCAGGAGUCAGGAGAUCUGGAGACUGGAAUUGCUGUGUGACCCUAGGUCAAUCACCUUCCCUCUCGGAACCUAUUCCUUCCACCAUAAUGUGAGAAGGCAGGAUUCAGCUGUUCU